CAGCACAAUUCACACAUAAAAAUAUGUAAUACUCUUUGCAUAAAGUUGAUAGAGAUGAUUUAUUCUCAUAGCAUGUUUUUGUUGACUUUUGCCAAACUCCUGUAUUUAUAGCUACAUGUGGCUCUUAUUAAGAAUGAGUACAGUUCUGACGUGAAUGCUGGUUGAUAUUUUCAUUUACAAGAAAGACAGUGCUGUGGACUGACAUGUGUCCCCACCAGGUUCAAAAGUUGAAGUGAAGAUAUCCCCCGAAUGGCUGAAGUCCUACUCCUCCAUGUGACGACGGUGUGAGGAGAUGGAACCUUUGAAAGACUUCAGCUUCCAGAACUCUGAGAAAAACAUGUCUGCUGUUUAAGCCACCAGUCUGUGGUAUUUCGUUACUGCACCCUGAGCAGACAAAGACAAAGCCCUUUUCUUCCAUGUGACUGUGUUUGGAGACAGGGACUACAAGGAGAGAUCAUGUGAGUGUAUAGCAAGACAGAGGCUGCCUACAAACCAGGGAAAGAGGACUCAGAAUGAAACCAGCUAGUUGAUCUUGGACUUCCCGGCAUCCAGACCUUGAGAAAUAAUUUUCUGUUGUUAAAACCACCCAGUCUAUGACAUUUUGUUUGGCAGCCUUAGAUGACUAAUACAGACAGGAAAGAUCAAAGUCAAACAAUUCAUAGCUAUAUGGGAACUUCCCUCUUUCUGCAAAGACUGACUUUGCUGAAUCAAAGUUGUUGAACACUAGAAUGAUUUUCCUCAUUCCUGUGCUACUUAUCAUGUAACAUCUUUAGACAUGACAC